UACGGAAGGCAGCAGUGGGGAAUAUUGCACAAUGGGCGAAAGCCUGAUGCAGCUAUGCCGCGUGUAUGAAGAAGGCCUUAGGGUUGUAAAGUACUUUCAUCGGGGAGGAAAAAACAAAACUAAUAAUUUUAUUUCUUGACGUUACCCGAAAAAGAAGCACCGGCUAACUCCGUGCCAGCAGCCGCGGUAAUACGGAGGGUGCUAGCGUUAAUCAGAAUUACUGGGCGUAAAGAGCACGUAGGUGGUUUUUUUAAGUCAGAUGUGAAUCCCUGGGCUUAACCUAGGAACUGCAUUUUGAAACUGAAAUACUAGAGUAUCGUAGAGGGAGGUAGAAUUCUAGGUGUAGCGGUGAAAUGCGUAGAUAUCUGGAGGAAUACCUGUGGCGAAAGCGGCCUCCUAAACGAAUACUGACACUGAGGGUGCGAAAGCGGUGGGGAGCAAACGAGGAUUAGACUACC
rnacentral:rRNA from 1 species